rnacentral:misc_RNA from 1 species
UGCUGAUGGUGAUGCAGAUCGCAAUAUGGUCCUUGGUAAAAGGUUUUUUGUCACUCCUUCAGACUCUGUUGCCAUUAUUGCUGCUAAUGCUGUUGAAGCUAUUCCAUACUUCUCUGCUGGUUUGAAGGGUGUUGCCAGGAGCAUGCCAACCUCUGCUGCACUAGAUGUGGUUGCCAAAAACUUGAACUUGAAGUUUUUUGAGGUUCCCACCGGCUGGAAAUUUUUUGGUAAUUUAAUGGAUGCAGGAAUGUGCUCUGUAUGUGGGGAAGAAAGUUUUGGAACUGGUUCUGACCAUAUUCGUGAGAAAGAUGGAAUUUGGGCAGUUUUGGCUUGGUUAUCUAUUCUUGCUUAUAAAAACAAGGGAAACCUUGAUGGUGGAAAGCUUGUGACAGUCGAAGACAUAGUUCGCCAACAUUGGGCCACCUAUGGUCGUCAUUAUUAUACUAGAUACGAUUACGAGAAUGUUGACGCUGGAGCAGCAAAGGAGCUAAUGGCAAAUCUGGUGAAGCUGCAAUCUUCACUUGCCGAAGUUAAUGGAAUUGUCCAAGGAAUCCGCUCGGAUGUGUCAAAGGUUGUCCAUGGUGAUGAAUUUGAGUAUAAAGAUCCAGUUGAUGGUUCCAUCUCCAAGCACCAG